ACUUCAUACUUUUCAGACCACCAAACAAACAGACCCUUGAAUACUUUCAAUGUUGGUUGGGGUUAUGGCUGCCAGGAUGUUUUCCCAGCCUCUGGCACCCAAUGGCUCCAGACUGUGCCGAGAAAGUUUUUGUUGUUGUUAUUUUGUUUUGUUUUUAUUUUUAUGAAUGGCUUUGGUAGAAAACGCAGACUGAAGCAUAAUACUACCACCAUUCAUAAAAAGGGAAAGGAAACAAACUGCUGUCUGGAAAGCUUUUUGGACGCCAAACAAACUGGAAACCAAGGCAUAGGGAAUUUAAAUAAUCGUCUGAGAUCUUUUUCUAAAACCAAAACAACCCGAGUCUACUGAUUCUCUUAAUCCCUGAUAUAAUGCUCUGAAGAAACCCAGUCUGUUCCUUGAAAAAAAGAAAAAAGAAAAAAGUCAAAUCGAGAUCCAAUCCAGGAGAAGCUGUACUUCCCGGCUUUGAUUUUCAUCUCCAGAUUGUUCAGCAGGGCCUAGUUCUGAUUCCUCCAGGUUGCUGAUGAAAAGUGAAUCGCAGGGGACAAGAGUCAGACCUGCAAAGUCCAGCUGCCUCACCUCACUUGGAGAUUCUUCCUUCAUUAUCAGUUGUGGAGGGGCUGAGUCCCUCUUAAAGGUGUGUACAUCAUAAUGACUGUUCAGUGAACAGAUAGCAAAGCCUUUCAAGUUGUUUAGACAAAUCUGAUGAUCCAAUUCUAAGUGUGCACAUAGGGAGUUUAUACAGUUUAGGCACUUGGUCAACUUGGCAUGCAAACCCUUCAAUGCACUGAGAUUUUGAGUUCAUUAUGUUGAGACUAUUGCACCUUUCAAAAAGCUUGUAAUGAAAAUCCUCAUUCCAUGGUUGCAUUGAAACUUCUAAAAUACAAUGGGGUGAAAGAGAGCUUCCUCCCAGAACAAAACAUCAAUAGCAGCAUUGACAAAAUCACCAAAGGACUUUGAAGAAAUUUUUUGGAUUAACAGAUGUUAAAACGAAACUGUGGCCGGGUGUGGUGGCUCAUGCCGGUAAUCUCAGCACUUUGAGAGGAUUGUUUGAGCUCACGAGUUCGAGACCAGCUUGGGCAACCUAGCAAGACUUCAUCUCUAUUAAAAAUAAUUAGCCAGGUAUAGUGGCGCAUGCCUGUACUCCCAGCUACUCGGGAGACUGAGGUGGGAGGAUUGCUUGAGCCUAGGAGGUUAUGGCUGCAGUAAGCUAUGAUCACACCAUUGCACUCCCGCCUGGGUGACGGAGCAAGACUCUGCCUCAAAAAAAAAAAAAAGUGGUGAGAAUUCAAAGACCCCAUGAGUUGAACAUACCACGUGAAGCUUAAAAGGGCUCUUUCUAACCACAUGGAUUUCAGUGAGUAGUUCUCUGCAGUCUAGCCCUUAGAAUGGACUAGCUCAGCCACAAUUGAAAGUAUAAUGCUUAAGCAAAUAAAUAUCAUUGUUAAAGUAUAUACAAAUAGCUUAGGGUACAACAUGCUAAGAAACUGUAGAAGAUAAGCAAAAGGAAAGGACAUAUUUUUGGAUUUCUGAGGUCAUACAGCAAAUGAACAUUUCUCCAAAUGGAAGAAAAAAAGUUACUGAAUUUUUAAAAUCCACAGAGUAUUUGGAUUUUUAAGAUUUUGUAGAGAGACACUUGUGUAGGAAAUGGUCUGCCAUUCCACCUAUUUCAGAAUAAUUAAGAAGUUCCUCAGCCCUCCUAAGAAUACAAUCUAUGGUUCCAGGAAGUCUAGGUAUUUUAAAGCUGAUACUCAGACAGCUAAGCCACUCCUUCUGGUAGGUAUUGAAAGAAAAUCCUUGCUAACAAAGGACCCAGACAUUAGUAGUUCAUUUUAGUACUAAUCUAAACAUUAAAUAAAAAGAGGCUUGAAUUGAGCUUACAAACUUAAUUUUUAAAAAAAAAUUAGGCACAAUGUAUGGUAAAGCAAACAUGAUUAUUAUGUAAAGGGUCUCAAGUUGACCUUAGAAAGAAAGAAGCCCUUCACAUGGCUGUCUGUGCAGAUGAGUCUCUGGGUUUAAUGUAAGCAGCAGAAUUUUAAUAUAAUUAGAUCCUUUGCUUCUUGCCAGGCAGUAGUAGGUGAUUUUGCCCACUUUGUUUUAAAAUCAUAUGAUUUUGUUUUAAAAUCAUAUGACCAUUGUUCAACCAAUAGGUACUUCUGUGCCAUAGCAUAAUCUUUUUUCAUGUAGAUUGUUUUCCAUUCUCAUAGCAAUAUAGUAUAAGACAGAUCUUCUAGCUAUUUACUAAUAAAGAAUGUAAAAACCCUAAUUUCUAUAAAAAUUCCUCAAUGAGAGUUACAUUUUGGGGGCCUUUCACACCUCACAAAAUAGCAUCUCACAGGAUCAUCUGUUAUUUAAAAUUUUAAGUUAAAUAUGGUGUCAUAUUAAAAAUGUUUACGCAAAAGAUAUUUGUUUUUCAACUUCCAAAAGAGUCCUUUAGAUGUAAGCCAGCUCAUUGAACUAGUGAGGUUUAUGAUCAUGUUUGUAUCCACACAAGUGUAGCCAGUUUUAUCUGCCUGAACUGACAGAUGAAUAUAUCCCUACCAUAUAGACAACAUUUCAAUAAAUACAUAGACCUAUUACUUAAUCACUUCACUGAUUUCUAGACAAAAUUGACCGGUUAUUUAUAGAAAAAAUGUUCCAAAAUAUUGAAUAAGUAGACACAGCUCAAAUUCUAGACAAGUAAUCAUCCAAUCUCUCUGCAAACACUCCAAAUGGCCAUGAACCAUCAAGGCCAGCAGCAGCCUCGACUUGUGUGGUUGGGCACAUUGAUGGGAGUGGCUUUUGACUUGUGGUGUGAACAAUAUCCUUCUUCACCCUUUGUCCAAAGUUAUUUAAAGGUUCAAAACACAACCUUUCUCUCUGUAUAGAACAUUCACCGAGAUCCACUUUCAUUUAUGUGCUGUGAAAUAUGCUCUUAUCCUCAGAAAUUUCACAGUGCUGUCCUGAAUAUAUUUUCUUUGAAUUUGACAUUUACCUGGCUGAAGGAGGAUGACCAUUAUCAAGAAUUUGCCUUUCACGAAAUUAUGUGAUCGACAUACUUGUUCAUGGCCCUCCGGAUUUAGUUUUAAAACUUCAAUAUUCCAGAAUGUCAAGAUUUGUGUUUGGGUCACUUUUCAAAAAAUGAACUUCAGGCUUUGGAGGCUUUGAAUCAUUUUUUUUUUUUUUAAAGCAUAAGAACCUCCCCCACACCUUUUAUGUUAGAUCUUAUGUGGAACCCUACAACAGAAAGCAGACAAAAUGGUAUUUCUGAGACUCAUUCACGUGGCCUCCACUCCAAUCCAUCUCUGCCCUCCCAGGAUGCCCCUGAGGCCCCUCAACGAAAAACUGGAGCUCCAGGGGAGGUUAAGUAAAAAAAAAAAAAUCUUAGGGCUAAGCAUGUUGGCACAUGCUUUUAGUCCCAGCUACUUGGGAGACUGAGGCAAGAGGACUCGAGUCCAGAAGUUCGAGGCUGCAGUGUGCUAUGAUCGCACCUGUGAGUAGUCACUGCAUUCCAAUAUGGGCAACAUAGCAAGACUCUGACUCUUAAAAAACAAAAAUCUCUGAUUUCUAGAUGCAAACCCUCCUGCAGACCUGUAUCACCAGGAUAGGUGGAGGCAGAGCGUCUUCAUAGCAUUCACCCCGUGUGACUCAUACUAUCAGGUUGAGCUAGCUGAACUGGCAUUUUUGUAGGUCAGAACCAAUCAAUUAUCAGCAAUUUCAUAUGGUUUAAUCCCAUACAAUCAAGAUAAGGUCUUUCUAAUUCAGUAAGGUAAUUUUUGUGACUUGUCAUUAGGCUGUAUUAGGCAACAGAUUUUUGUACCUUCUGCGUAGCUUUUUGUACCUUCUGAGAUCCUGUACUCAAUUUUUCUGCUCACUCCUCUCCAGCCUGGAUCCUUCCCCUUACACUUAUUUUACCAAAGACUGCCAGAUUGUGGUGAAAAGAGGGAUUGGCCUAUACCAGGUGUGGUGUUCCAGUUUCUUGCUUAUGCUGUGGUUGUUCUUCCAGAGCACCAGGACUGUCUUUGUGGCCAUCUGGCUAGAUUCUCAUACCCACUCCAAAUCCACCUGAACUCUACCUCUUCAUUGAAACUGGAUGACUGAAAUAAUUUGUACAUAACACAUCUCUGUGGCUAUCCAAGGAAGGUCUAGAAUGAAAACUGUCACUUUGAAUUAAAUUUAAAAUUAAUGGUCAACUCAGGUAUUGAUCAGAUAUAGGGGAGUUCAGUUUGAGGUAUUCUACAAUAGUAAGUGAUCAAAAAGUUUUAAUGUACCUAAGGAAUGUAUUUUGAUAAUUAGAUAGGAAUAUGAUAUAUCUGAAGUUUGAAGGAUUUAUUUCAGAUCAAAUGUUGAUGCAACAUUGUGAGGAUGAGACUCAGCUACAGCUAGCUAUACAAAUCACACCUCUAGGUACCACUUUUCUGGGGUUGAAAGCUUUUCUGUUUUAGUGCUUCCUAAGUUGGGAAUGAACCUGCCCCCUAGUGAUGGGAGGCUUUGGUAAAGAGGAGAAACCAUCUACCAGGAGUAGCUAGUCAGGGUUUUCUCUGAACCUAGAAAAAGCCUAGGUUAGGUCUUAACUUCCAUUCAUUGUGCCUCCUGUGUGCAUUUAGAGAUGACUGUGAAAUGUGUGUACACAUGUAGCUAUGGGUGGUUACAAUUCAACAGUAACAUCUGGCCCUUAUGGUGCAAAGGAGAUUUUGUAGUUCUCUGUACAAAGUCUCCUAAGAAGCGAUAAAUCUAUGGGGGAGUUUUGGCAAAAUCUCUGGAAUUUCUGCUUGGUAUUGUGGAAGAGGGGAAGUGUUCUUUAUUUUCUAUUCUACUUGGCUUUGCGCUUAGACUUUAAUGCAAAAGACAAAAGUAAGCAUCAUUUCAAAAGUAUUUAUUGGAUUAUUAUAGCAAAGUGCCCUCACUGCUGCUGGCCUUGUUUCAUCUGCUCAAGGAUGAGAAUAGCCACAAGCUGCUCUAGUUAGUGUUGAUUAACAUCAGACUGCGUAUGUGUGGCAAUGAGCCAUAGCAGCUCUCAUGAGAACAGACUGGGGGGCUGAUACUUUGGAGUUUUUGCCUUCCCUCUGGUGCCUUUCAGACACCUUUGGAAUGGAGUGAAAAGAUCAAUGGGAAGCCCUUUAAAAAUCACAGUGUCAUGAUUAGUUUCAAAAUGUAUCCUUCUGGAUUCUGACCUGAUGAAGUGGUUCAUUGGCUCAUCGAAUACUAAUUGAUAUUUGAACUAUAUGACAGGCAGGAACUGGGUGUAGAAAACAAAGAAGAAAUCUUUCAAGAAGCCUAGAGUCUAAUGGGGGAGACAAAUGAAAAACAGAUAUUAGAGUACAAUGUACAAUUUUAGAUUAAUAUUUUUUUCCUACAAUGUUUUCUUAAGUGCGGGGAGGCGUGCUCAUCAAAUAUGGAAAAGAUAAAUGUAUGAAAGAAGAGAUGACUAUUUUCUUUAUAAUAGGGAAAAUGAAAAAGUAGAGAUAAGGUCACUGAAAAAAAAUUCCAGAAGAAAUUUGAAGACGAAGUAGAAGAAAAGUAUCACUUUUUCCCUAUCACAAAGAAAUACAUUAAGAAAAUUUCUUUGCCUUCACUUUGGAAAGUUAAAGAUUACAGUUAAGCUUAACAAAUUAGAAAGCAAAAGAUGUGGUUUGGGGAUAGUGUUGUCAAACCAUGGUUAGUGUUAAGGGGAUGCUCCGGUGUGCUCCCGAGUUAUAGCAGUUUAAUAGGCAUUUUUGUUUUACAGGAGAUGGUUGUGCUCUGAGGAACAUAAAGCAGUCUGAAGUAAACAGUCGCACACAGGUGGGGUAAAGGAAUACACAGUCUCAGAAGUUGACUUUUCAUCUCAUUUUUUAUGAUUCUCUAAGAUUUUAGGGGAAAAAUCCACCCUUAGUCAAAAAGUGGAGUGAAAAUUGUGAGAUUAAUGUUACUUCAUAGAAAAUAAUGAAUGUUUCAGUCCUAUUUCCUUAUGCUACAAGUUUUCAAAAAAGGAACGCUAUACAUAUAUAUGUAUACACACACACACAUAUAUACAUAUUUUUUAAGGCCCAAAUUAUUUAUUCUAUAUGUAUUUCUUUUUCUCUGUGUAUGACCAUUCACAAAGCUAGGUCACUUUGCAUAUGCACAUGUGCUUAAGAGCCAGCACAGGAAAAUGAAUAAAUAUUUGAACUGCCAUGCUGCUGGGUUUUCACAAAUCAAACAUGUAUGCACAGAUGCUAUAGCCUAAGUUCAAACUUUAGCUAAUGUUAACUCCAGCCAAAUAAAGACUAAUUAAUGCUCAAUAUUAGAUGAAAAGGAGGCAUCUAUGAAAUAAUGGAAAUGAAAUUAGAUGCUAUUGGAGAUUACCAAGAAUUAAUAUCCAAAUUUGUUGUUAAUACUCCAAUCACGUUGGCAAUAUACUUGAAAGUCCCUUUAAGAUAUGCAUCUUCUUGACAUUUGGCCAAUUAUUCAGAUAGAGAUUAUAUGAAAUCGGAUCAGGACUUGAACUAGAUACACACAAUUUGACAUGUAACAUGUAUAUCUUUUCUUGUAUGCUUGCCCAUAAGCUUACAGAAAAAUAUGAUUUUUAAAACAGUUCUUAGUACUUUCAUUCUGACUAAAGAGAUUUAGAAUCAAUACUCAGAAAAUUUAUUUGGUUCCAAGAACAUUUGCCCAAUCUUAGACUAAACAUUUGGAAAUGGUUUUACAAAAUGAUUUGACUAUCAAGUAUUUCCCAGCAGCUAUAACAGUUACACAUGGAAACUGAAUUUAAAAAGCUGAAUCAUGAUUUUAGGCAUUUCUUUUCCUUAAGGAAAGAGUCAGUACAUUUAUUUGUAAUCUCUUAUGUUCUCAAGGACUACAAAUGGAUAGUUUAUGGGUUGAGUGCUCUAUGAUACUUAACUGAGUCAUAUCUCUCCUAGAAGCCUAAUUUAGCACUAUUUUCUUGGCACUAGUUUAGGGCUGACUUUAGGAGUUGAGUUGUUUUUCUUGGAGGAAGCUUAAUAUUCACUCCGAGAAACAUUAACUAUUCCCGAACAUUAGCUUAUAUCCUUAACGUUUUUAAACAGUUGUGAAGUGAGUUCUUUCUGCUACAUGCCCACACUUCCACAGUGGCCCUGACACCCUGGCCUUUCCAGAGGAUACCUUCUUCCUGGACCUUCCUUCACGGUCUUCUCUGGAUUGAUGACCUUUCCUCAGAAGCUGUAAAUUAAAAUGUCUCCAUUCCCUUUUUUAGAAAAUCAAAUACUUCAUUCGUCUUGUCUUCCGAAUCUACUCCAUCUCAAACCUAAGUGGAGCUUCAGGCAACUGUCUUGAACUACCUUACUCAGCUCAACUUCCCUAAAAUGGAUGAUUCUGGGUUCAGCAUUCCGUUAACUUAAAAACUGCUUAUCUUUGUUUAGCAUUGUAUAGAAUAUUCCAGAAAUGUCUCUCUGAACUCGGCUUCACGAUCACAUUCAUGGAAUCAAACAUUCUUUCAUUUCAAGAUGAGAUGACACGAGUUUUCAUUUUGUUGAUAUCGAUCAUAUGAUGAUAAUGCAUAAUUUGUAUGUGUCACAUAACAGUGACACAUAGUUUGUAACGUGAUUUAAAAGUGCACUGACUGAUUUUAACCCUUACAACAACCAUGUACAGAAGUAUAGCCAUUCAGAUUCAUGCAUGCAGAAGCUAAAUCCAAAAGACAGUAAUUGACUUGCAAAACAUUGCAAGGCCAGCAUAUAAUGAAACUAUAACACCCACCCAGGUUGUAUAGCUCCACAUCUUUUUCCCUUCUCACUAUUCUACACUGCCCCAGAAAAGUAUUUUGGGCAAUUAUUCAGCAUAUUCUGUGCUUCUUAUUUUUUUUACGAAGAAAAUCAGUGUUAUAGGCAACCAUCCUCUUUUAUCUAUAAAAAUAGCAUCUGUUUUUAAAAACAUAAUAAAAAUCUAGCUUCCUUGGACUAUGAUUUCACUAAGAAGAAAAAUGACCAAAUAAGGAGAAAAACUGCAUUUUAAUAUAACAAUUUAAAAGAUCUUAGUUCAAAAGAAUGUUUCUAAUAUAUUUAAAGGACAAAUCAGCACUAGAAUACUAUUUUUAUAGUAACAGCUUUGCUCUGAAAAAAGUUUUCUCAUCAAAAAGUUCAAGAUGUUUUAGAAAUAUAAAGAGCAUCUUGUUUCUCACUAGAUUUCUAUAAAAGUAGAAAUCCUAUCCUGCUAUUCUUAUUUAUAGCUAUAUCUAUCUAUCUAUACUUUCUUUAAUCUUUUAUUUCUAUUAUUCCUCUUGAAAACUCUAUAGAAAAGAAAUUCAGUUAAGGCUAUGAAGGCUAAAAUAUCCGUGAUAAAUGUUAAUGACUUAUUUUUGUUUUUUUUUCUCUCUUGUUUAUCACCUGCUAUAAUAUUUGAUUAUGUUACAAAUGUUAGCUAUAAAUUCUGUGGUAUCUAUGAUAUAGAAAAUAUACAGGCACAGUUCCUGUACCUCUGGACUUUACAAUCUCAUGUAUUAUGUGUUAUUGUCUGUGACCAAAAUAUGGAGAAGAAUAAAAAUGCUUGUUCCCCAUA